UAUUGGGUUGGUGCAAAAAUAAUUGCAGUUUUUCUAAUGAAAAGUAAUGGCAAAAACUGCAAUUACUUUUACACCAACCUAAUAUUU
ensembl:miRNA